GUGCUUGCUUAGGCAGCACAUACAUUAAAAUUGGAAUGCUGCAGACAAGAUUAGCAUGGCCCCUGCGCAAGGAUGACAUGCAAAUCUGUGAAGCACUCCAUAUUUAA